rnacentral:lncRNA from 1 species
UUUUAGAAUUCAGAGUACAUAUAGUUGAGCAUAUGUGCAUAAAUGACUUAGCAAAGUCACACACUGGUAAUACGGAAUGAACUACAAGAUGUUACAAAAAUAUCCUAGUAUUUGAUAGGCUUCCAUGUUCUAUGUGUGUGAGUAUCAUACUGUGAGAAUUUCCUAAUACGCGAAUAGAAUGCGAAGACACAUAGCUAUGCCUUAUGUGAAUGUACUUUAUAAAAUCAGAAAUUCCUAUUACAUAGUAGUGGUAAGAUCGAACCUAGCUUAUCGAGAAAGAGGAAAGGGGACUAGAUUGUGGUACCUGUUACUUUUAAACGGAGUUUGAAUAGGAGGGGCGACUGCCUUGCUCCGUCAAGCCGAAGAGGAUGACGGCGGCGAAAGCUUCGCCGCUCAUCCGAGCCUAGAGAACUGAGUGGGGAAACGCAUGCAAUAGGUGGCGAUGCCGCCAGAAUUAGAAGGUCGCGGCGGAGACAGAGCAGUAGCGCCUCGUGGAGCCUAGGGUCGACGGCGUCAAGCGGCGAAAGGCGGACGACUCCUCAGCGGCGACCCUCGCAGAUUUCUGGAAUAGCAACGGCGGCGUGGUGAUUCCCUGUCGAGAAGGACGCAGCGGCAUCGAUCCAGAAGAGUGGUGGCUUCGUCUUCGUCAAAAGAGAUGAGACGGCGCAACGGCGCGGCGAGCGAGACCCGGCGACGACGGCGAUUUCGCCCGAGCCGAGAGAACUAGGGCUCAACCAACCCCUCGAUUGUGUGCGCCUGAGAGAGAAGAGAUGACAGAUGAGGCGCACCUCGCCAGAAUUUCGGGACCGCGGCGGCGGAUUUCGGUAGAAAAGAGAGCGGACGGAGUUUGGGGAUCGGAGGAAGGUGUUAAGGCUGAAGGGCUGCUCUCAGCCGUGAGCUAAAAAGGAGAUGGGCCAUUUGAGAUGGGCUAAAGCUUAUUCUAUUUAAUCUUUGUUAGGCCGAUUUUUCUGGAAUUGGGCCAAAGAAGUGAAGUAGAAAAGUUAACCUCACCAAUUGCAUCAGUAAACGAAACAAGUGUAUGCUACAAGGACUUGUCACAACUUUGUAUUGACACAAUUUUUAAC